CUGAGCAGAGACAAAUGGCUGCUACAAUGUUCAGACUUCAUGAGUUUGUGAUUGUUUUUCUCAUCCUGACAGUUAACUGGACAGGAACUGAUGGUCAAACACUGACUGAGUCUGAACCAGUGAUUAAAAGACCUGGAGAAUCUCACAGACUGACCUGCAUAUAUUCUGGGUUUAGUAGCAAUCCUAACGUAGCUUGGAUUAGACAGGCAGCUGGAAAAGGUCUGGAAUGGAUCACUUAUAUCAGCAGUGGCAGCACCAUCUACUACUCUGACUCAGUAAGAGGCCGGUUCACCAUCUCCAGAACCAACAGCAGAAGUCAGGUGUAUCUGCAGAUGAACAGCCUGACAGCUGGAGAUUUUGCUGUUUAUUACUGCGCUCGAUAGACACAGUGA